rnacentral:lncRNA from 1 species
UAUUGUAGUUUAGUUAAAAUUAGUGUAGUUUACAAUUUAGUUAAUAGUUCAGUUAAUGUAAUUUACAAUUCAGUUAAUAGUUUAGUUCANUUUACAGUUCAGUUAAUAGUUCAGUUAGUGCAGUUUACAGUUCAGUUAAUAGUUCAGUUCAGUUCAUACUNCAGUACAGUACANUUNAGUACGGUUCAGUUUGAUAAAACAAAAUAUAGUUCAGUUCAGUUUGUCUGAACUGUUUUACAGUUCAGUUCAGUUUUUAGCAGUGCAGUACAGUUCAGUUCGAUUUGCCCACCCC